rnacentral:lncRNA from 1 species
UGUUAAGUGAAGUGGUCUCUGUGAAGGGUAACCUAUAUAUGUGUUCAUUACAGUAUUACCUAACUAGAGCUGUACAUGGCAUUCCUAAACUUGCCAGCUGAAUAUCUCAGUGAAACACUUUGGAAUUGUUAAAAACCCAGUUGUUUCAGUGAUUGACUGGUGCUGGGAAAAAAAAAAAAAAGAAAAAAGUAGAUUUUCAUUAUAUCUAAUUCUGUUUCUUUAAUAGGGAUAAUAUUAAACAGAACUACUCCUCAUUUACCAGGUCACAAAGUGGGAUUCUAAUGCCAACUGGAGACAUUCAAACUAUUUCUGUAUUAAAAAGACAGACCUUUGAAGAUAAACCAUGAAAACACUGUGUCAUGUUUUUAAAAUGUUUACAGAGCGGUUUUGUUCUGAGUCUGAAACAAGUCAUCCCAUGAGCUUUGAAGACAUAGUGUACAGGACAGUGAAAUU